GUAGGUGGCAAGCGUUGUCCGGAAUUAUUGGGCGUAAAGCGCGCGCAGGCGGUCCUUUAAGUCUGAUGUGAAAGCCCACGGCUCAACCGUGGAGGGUCAUUGGAAACUGGGGGACUUGAGUACAGAAGAGGAAAGCGGAAUUCCAAGUGUAGCGGUGAAAUGCGUAGAGAUUUGGAGGAACACCAGUGGCGAAGGCGGCUUUCUGGUCUGUAACUGACGCUGAGGCGCGAAAGCGUGGGGAGCAAACAGGAUUAGAUACCCUGGUAGUCCACGCCGUAAACGAUGAGUGCUAAGUGUUAGGGGGUUUCCCGCCCCCUUAGUGCUGCAGCUAACGCAUUAAGCACUCCGCCUGGGGAAUACGGCCGCAAGGCUG
rnacentral:rRNA from 1 species